rnacentral:rRNA from 1 species
UACGAAGGGUGCAAGCGUUAAUCGGAAUUACUGGGCGUAAAGCGUGCGUAGGCGGUUUGUUAAGUCUGCUGUGAAAUCCCCGGGCUCAACCUGGGAAUGGCAGUGGAUACUGGCAAGCUAGAGUGUGUCAGAGGAUGGUGGAAUUCCCGGUGUAGCGGUGAAAUGCGUAGAGAUCGGGAGGAACAUCAGUGGCGAAGGCGGCCAUCUGGGACAACACUGACGCUGAGGCACGAAAGCGUGGGGAGCAGACAGG